GAUGAACGCUAGCGGGAGGCUUAACACAUGCAAGUCGAGCGGGAAGGGUAGCAAUACCCUGAGAGCGGCGCACGGGUGCGUAACGCGUAUGUAACCUGCCUUAUACAGGGGGAUAGCCCAUGGAAACGUGGAUUAACACCCCAUAGGACUGGAAUUUCGCAUGGGAAUUCAGUUAAAAUUACGGUGGUAUAAGAUGGGCAUGCGUCUGAUUAGGUAGUUGGUAGGGUAACGGCCUACCAAGCCGACGAUCAGUAGGGGUUCUGAGAGGAUUACCCCCCACACUGGUACUGAGACACGGACCAGACUCCUACGGGAGGCAGCAGUGAGGAAUAUUGGUCAAUGGGCGAGAGCCUGAACCAGCCAUCCCGCGUGCAGGAUGACGGCCCUAUGGGUUGUAAACUGCUUUUUCCUGCUCCCAAAGAAACCCUGAUUUACGAGUAAAUCAGUUGACGGUAGAGUAGGAAU
rnacentral:rRNA from 1 species